rnacentral:rRNA from 1 species
CGCAGCCGCGGUAAUUCCGGCUCCAAUAGCGUAUAUUAAAGUUGUUGCAGUUAAAAAGCUCGUAGUUGAAUUUCGGGAUCAAUUGAUUGGUCAUGCCUUGGUAUGUACUGGUCAUAUUGGUUCUCACCUUCUAAUGAACCAUAAUGUCAUUUAUUUGAUGUUAUGGGGAAUUAGGACUGUUACCUUGAAAAAAUUAGAGUGUUUAAAGCAGGCUUACGCUUGAAUACAUUAGCAUGGAAUAAUGAAAUAGGACAUCGUAUUCUAUUUUGUUGGUUUCUAGGAUCGAUGUAAUGAUUAAUAGGGAUAGUUGGGGGCAUUAGUAUUCAAUUGUCAGAGGUGAAAUUCUUGGAUUUAU